UUGUAGUAUAUGUUGUUUAUAAGUAAGUAAUUUUAUUUCAAAAUAAAAAUACCUACCAACUAAUAAAUAUUAGCAAGUCAGCCCGUGAGUUUAGCUGGCUAUUACAAACUAAAAUCCUCAUAUUAGAAAUCACCGAUCGAUAUUAUAUUGUUUUCUCAGAUUAGUAAUACAAAUAACUUUGGACGGACAAACAUUAGUAUUAUUUGUCACAUUAUAUUGCGUCUGCUACAUGAAUCCCGCGCGUUCCGAUACACUCAAAAUCAGUUGAACGGACGGUAAAACAAGUAUCUUUAAAUUUCUAAUGUUAUAGUAAAUAGAGUAUAAUUAUGUAAUAUGAUUUUAUUAUGGUUGUUCUGCAGCGAUUUUUCAAUUGAUGUUAUAUCAUAAUUUGGGUAAGUAAAAUUUUAUUGCUAUAAUUUUUCUGAAUUUCGGAACGUAUUUAAUAAAUUCUGUUUUAUCUAUGGUAUGGAUAUUUACUUUGCAAUAAUUUUCAUGACAUGAGACUACAUUUUGCUGCAAUUACAAGCGAUUUGAUCUGGUUUUGUUAUAAUUUCGUUUCAAUUUUAUGCGAAUAGGUACUGAGUUUAUAAAAGUAACAUAAUAUUGUCUUGUACUUAUAUAAUUAGUUUUUGUGUAUUUCGGAUUCCGUUUACAUCUAGGUACCUACUAUGUCGGGGUCCUACGAGAAAGCUGGCGUAUCAACGCCACGAAUAUUCAGGCGCCCGUAAAUCGUCAAAACGAGUGAAAAGCGCAUUCAGUUGGAUACAUGUGGACGACAAGAUAGUAAACCUGUAAAUGAUAACUCAAGUUGUGGCCAGCUUCAUUGUAAACAAACUUUAGUUUUCAAGUUCAAGGACAAAUGCGUGUCAGUAACAUGGAUAAAUGCUACUUCAUAUGUUUUAUUUCAGUCAAUGAACCUUUGACUGUUAUAGAAGUUUGUCGAGAUAAUAUAAUGACUUUAUCAGCAAUAUGAUGCCAAAGUUAAUACACUUUUUUAAAGAAUGUAUUCUGCCAGAAAUAGUUUUGAGACAUGUUCAAAAAAAUGCGAAAUGUAUACCUAGGUAUGAAAGCAGUUGUGUAGCGGUAGUUUCCAGGCAAUAAUGAGGAAGGAUGAGUGAAAACAACACGACAAAUGUUUUUUUAUUGUACUAUUAUAGUAGUGUGUUUAGAAUCUACAUUAUCAAUGUUUACAGUCAUGUUUUUUUUAUGUCAGAAAACUGAAAUGGUGUACUCGUCGUAAUGAACAUAAUGUUCAUAAUGUGAUAUGAACACAUUGACCUAUUUUAAGGUUUCUGAAAAACAAAAAGGAAAGUUGUUGCUUUUUUAUUUCCUUAUGUAGUAUAGUGGUUAUGGAUGCUUAGAUAUUCUCAAACAUUUUUCCGCUUUGAUUGCAAUCUAUUAUUCUGGUUGCCUUGUUUAUGAAUUAUAGUUUUGAAUUAUUAUUUUGAAUGAGAUUAUUUUUUAAUAAUCAGUCACGUAUCAAGCAUUCAUGUCACAUAAAUACUUGUAAUAAUUGCAGGUUAGUAUAUACAUUCUAUUAAAUAAUGUAUAAGAUAAUAAAAUAAAACUGUCUUACAUUGCA